rnacentral:rRNA from 1 species
CUCGUAGGCGGCUCUUAAGUCGGACGUGAAUCCCCGGCUCAACCUGGGAACUGCGUCUGAUACUGGGGGGCUGGAAUGCGGGAGAGGGAUGCGGAAUUCCAGGUGUAGCGGUGAAAUGCGUAGAUAUCUGGAGGAACACCGGUGGCGAAGGCGGCAUCCUGGACCGUGAUUGACGCUGAGGAGCGAAAGCCAGGGGAGCAAACGG